UGAUGAGUAUGGCAUGAGCUUGGGCAUAUUGGUCGGCUUUCAGAGUCCGCUUAGCUGCGGGUCCUUGCCCUAACGGGUUUGGAUGUGCGUUACGCUCAUUAGGCGUUGUGCGCUCUGUCUGUUCCGGGCCUGCUCGUCAGUGCACUUCCUCAGGGUGUUCACCACGACCGGCGCUGCUGUCUGUCUGUUGCGGUCAAACCGGUUGGGCUUAGUCAUUUUGGCUAAGUUUGAUCGGGAUGGCAGGUAGCUCUUGAGAUUUUCUGGCUUCGGCUGGUAGAGCUCUUGAGUGUAAUUAGCCGACUGUAAUGGAUCUGUGCAGUGCGUCGGAGCUGGCGGCUUUGGUGUGUGUACGCGUGCUGUACCUUGCUGGCUUGGUCAAGUUUGGUUAAUGUGUUACCUGCUUCGGUGGGUCUAUUAAUGGCU
rnacentral:rRNA from 1 species